AAAAAACGCCAUCUCACCAUAAAGCUACAAUCAGCAUGUCUCAAGAUAGUAAAGGAGCUGUUGUUGAAGAGGAUAGAGAAGAUAGACUCAGUCGGCUACCAAGAAACAUUAUAGAUCGUAUCCUUGAGCUCUUGCCGGUUCAGGACGCAGCUAGAACAAGUAUUAAAAUGGAGAUACAUUUGGGCCAUGCUUCCGACUUUGGUGCUGGAUAUGCACUUUUGCAAUAAAUUGGCUGUAAAAUCUCAAUCUGUGUUCAAAGAAACGGUUGACGAGAUUCUGUUACAGCAUAUUGGAGACAUUGUGAAGUUUGAUCUUGAUGUUUCAGGAGUAAAUUAGGGGUUCCCCCAAUUUGAGUCAACUUGAUGUUUGGGUCUAUGAUUUCAACGAUAAUGACGAAGCAGCUUUGAGUUAUCUUGACAUGGCAGCCUGCUUGGACCGACCACUAAACAAUCUUGAAUAUGUGACCAUGCAUUGGUUUAAAGGUUCAAAAACUGAACUGCUUUUAGUAAAGCUAUUAUUUGCUCGUGCUCCAUCUUUGGUAAGGAUGUCCAUUAAGUCGAAGAGAGCCAUUGGUACGAGGGAAGAAAGAGAUGUCACCACAACAGAAUUGAUGCGUUUCUGUUGUUUGAGGCUAGUAAGGCAGAUUGAUGCUGGAAUAAAUUGGCAAUUUUGUGGAGUUCCCUUAAGGCAGAGCUAUUGUAUUUGCCAAAUGUGGAAUAGAUUUUUAAUUUCUCUUUAGAGAUGUCACUAUCUGCAGAUUUCUCCAUUAGCCACAAUUAGAUGAUCCUUAUUUACUGAUAAGGAAUGUAUAUAUUCAAAAGCCUUGUGAGAUAUAAGCAGCUGGAUAAUAAAUUUACCAAAAGGGCCAAUAACAAGUGAAACUCCAUUGAUAGAUCCACAAACAAGGCAUCAAUUCUAUCAGUGAAUCUAUCUCAGGAAGUCGUUACAAUGUUUUUUAACAACAAAGGGAUCAACAAUAAGUACAUUAAUAAAUGAUAACCUUGUUUGCUUCAACUAAUGGUCAGAUUCAAGUUGAACUGCAACAAACAACUGCUUCAUGGUCUUAUAGCAAGAUAUUAAUAUUCUUUCAGAUGAGUACAUCAUGCAAAUAGUAGUCAGAUGAAUAUCCCCUGUUUGUACAUUGAAUUUGUUGCCUAAGUUCUUUUUUGUUCUCUUAUAAUCCCUUUUGGAUACAUAUAUCAAUAUUGCGCGUGGACAUCGUCAAGUUAUGCAUCAG